AGAGGGAGGAAGGAGUGGAAGAGCACCGGGGUCAGUUAGACUCAAAUGAAUCUCCUUCCCCAGACACGUCACGGCAUUGGCUUAACCUCCCAACCAAUAACCUCCCACAACACCUUCCCACUAACCCGGAUAGUACACGUCUUCCAUACGGGGUCUUGCCUCCAUUUGGAGCCCCGCCUCGCAGUCAUGUGAUUCGCUCAAAUUAAAAUUAUCACCUAUACUUUACUUAAUAAGAUCACGCCCAUAGAAUGAAGAACUCCUAUGAAUGGUUGAUGUCCCAGGGUUAAAUGCUACGUGUAACAACUGUGUUGUUGUCUGUUCACACUGCUUUGCUUCAUCUUGGUCAGGUCACAGUUGUAAAUGAGAACUUGUUCUCAACUAGCCUACCUGGUUAAAUAAAAGGUGAAAUAAAAAAAAUAUGCACAAAAUCCUGGGGAUGAGGCCAGGUGUGACCAACACCAUUUCAUCUCACCUUCCUAUAGAGAAUUCUCAUAAGACAACAACUUGGCUUAUAAAAGGUAGCGAGCUAAGAGCUCCUUCGGCAGUGAGGAUAUAAAGGUAGCGAGCUAAGAGCUCCUUCGGCAGUGAGGAUAUAAAAGGUAGCGAGCUAAGAGCUCCUUCGGCAGUGAGGAUAUAAAGGUAGCGAGCUAGGAGCUCCUUCGGCAGUGAGGAUAUAAAGGUAGCGAGCUAGGAGCUCCUUCGGCAGUGAGGAUAUAAAGGUAGCGAGCUAGGAGCUCCUUCGGCAGUGAGGAUAUAAAGGUAGCGAGCUAGGAGCUCCUUCGGCAGUGAGGAUAUAAAGGUAGCGAGCUAGGAGCUCCUUCGGCAGUGAGGAUAUAAAGGUAGCGAGCUAGGAGCUCCUUCGGCAGUGAGGAUAUAAAGGUAGCGAGCUAGGAGCUCCUUCAGCAGUGAGGAUAUAAAGGUAGCGAGCUAAGAGCUCCUUCAGCAGUGAGGAUAUAAAGGUAGCGAGCUAGGAGCUCCUUCAGCAGUGAGGAUAUAAAGGUAGCGAGCUAAGAGCUCCUUCAGCAGUGAGGAUAUAAAGGUAGCGAGCGAGGAGCUCCUUCAGCAGUGAGGAUAUAAAGGUAGCGAGCUAGGAGCUCCUUCAGCAGUGAGGAUAAAGGUGGCGAUCUAAGAGCUCCUUCAGCAGUGAGGAUAUAAAAGGUAGCGAGCUAGGAGCUCCUUCAGCAGUGAGGAUAUAAAGGUAGCGAGCUAAGAGCUCCUUCAGCAGUGAGGAUAUAAAGGUAGCGAGCUAAGAGCUCCUUCAGCAGUGAGGAUAUAAAGGUAGCGAGCUAAGAGCUCCUUCAGCAGUGAGGAUAUAAAGGUGGCGAUCUAAGAGUUCCUUCAGCAGUGAGGAUAUAAAGGUGGCGAUCUAAGAGCGCCUUCAGCAGUGAGGAUAUAGAGGUAGC